rnacentral:rRNA from 1 species
UAACGCGUGAGGAACCUGCCUUUCAGAGGGGGACAACAGUUGGAAACGACUGCUAAUACCGCAUGACGCAUUUUGAUCGCAUGGUCGAAAUGCCAAAGAUUUAUCGCUGAAAGAUGGCCUCGCGUCUGAUUAGCUAGUUGGUGAGGUAACGGCCCACCAAGGCGACGAUCAGUAGCCGGACUGAGAGGUUGACCGGCCACAUUGGGACUGAGAUACGGCCCAGACUCCUACGGGAGGCAGCAGUGGGGAAUAUUGGGCAAUGGGCGCAAGCCUGACCCAGCAACGCCGCGUGAAGGAAGAAGGCUUUCGGGUUGUAAACUUCUUUUAAGUGGGAAGAGUAGAAGACGGUACCACUUGAAUAAGCCACGGCUAACUACGUGCCAGCAGCCGCGGUAAUACGUAGGUGGCAAGCGUUGUCCGGAUUUACUGGGUGUAAAGGGCGUGCAGCCGGGCAUGCAAGUCAGAUGUGAAAUCUCAGGGCUUAACCCUGAAACUGCAUUUGAAACUGUAUGUCUUGAGUGCCGGAGAGGUAAUCGGAAUUCCUUGUGUAGCGGUGAAAUGCGUAGAUAUAAGGAAGAACACCAGUGGCGAAGGCGGAUUACUGGACGGUAACUGACGGUGAGGCGCGAAAGCGUGGGGAGCGAACAGGAUUAGAUACCCUGGUAGUCCACGCUGUAAACGAUGGAUACUAGGUGU